UGGUGUGAGAAGAUAAUGGACCCAAGGCCCUUUUUGGGGCAUGUCAUGGGGUGUAUAGACCCCAUGCUGGCCUGGCAACGAAUGAGUUAAUGCAGGAACUACCAGCCAAUGCUGAUUGGCAGCCUCACAGCAGCUGGGAGAAUAAAAGAGCUGAGAAGCACAGGAGUGGGGUGGCUGCCAGAGGAGGCAGUAGACCAGAGAAAGUAGGUCCUGCCAGCAAGCUGGUGAGAAGCUGUCCCAGAGGGUCAACACCCUAGAGAACAGAUGACCACAGGCUGCAGAAACCGAUAGAACCAAGGGUAGGACUACAGAGAUUCAGACAAGAAGGGUGGACUGACUGCCCCGCUGAACUGAACAGACUAUGUGCAACACUCCAUCUGACCAAAAGGAGGUGCUGAUGCAAUACGGCACCAGUUCACAGGGCCUCUAUAGCUUCAGAGAAGCAUCAGGACUGCUGUAUGCUCAUCAAACCACAGACUUUUGGGGGUUCUCUUCUCCAUCAUUAAUGAGAGAUUACUGAUCUACCCCUAAAGGGCUCAAUUAUGGGUUGUCUGACAGACACGUUAUGUAAUUUGCUGAUGUAAAAGUUCCAUAAACUGGACCUGCCAUAAAGUGGUUCCCCACUUGCCACAGAGCUCUACUGGAACUGCUAAGCACCAGACCCUUCUCAGUUCCCUGUGUAUGGGGCAUGCCAGAAGACAGAAGGAAGAGUGGGCGCUGCGAGUCUCAGCCUACAGCCACUGCAACCAGAGCACAGUGUACGUUAGAGCAGCCCUAUAGCCCUAAGGACUGGGCAGAAUGUUGACUGAGCCAAGAAUACUGGAAGGCUUUGAAGUGGUGCACAACCCCUUUACUCCCACCCUUCCAUUCCUACACUGAGAUCAACUCAGCAGAAUGGAGAAUCAGGACACUACUCCUUGUGAUCUGCACAACCGCUCUUAUCUUGUUAAUUGGGACACACUCCACUUAAAAAAUCUUGUUGUAAACAAACAAAUGCAUCUGUGUUACAAAUAAGACCCUAAUUAUUAAAAUGACCAAACUUUAAAAAAAAA